UACAGAGGGGGCAAGCGUUGUUCGGAAUUACUGGGCGUAAAGGGCGCGUAGGCGGCCUGCUAAGUCGAACGUGAAAUCCCCGGGCUCAACCCGGGAACUGCGUCCGAUACUGGCAGGCUUGAAUUCGGGAGAGGAAUGCGGAAUUCCAGGUGUAGCGGUGAAAUGCGUAGAUAUCUGGAGGAACACCGGUGGCGAAGGCGGCAUCCUGGACCGAGAUUGACGCUGAUGCGCGAAAGCUAGGGUAGCAAACGGG
rnacentral:rRNA from 1 species